UACGAGCGGCCCAACCGUUAUUCGGAAUUACUGGGCUUAAAGAGUUCGUAGGCGGCGCGGAAAGUGGGGUGUGAAAGCCCUCGGCUCAACCGAGGAAUUGCGCUCCAAACUACCGUGCUUGAGGAAGCUAGAGGUGAGCAGAACUGAUGGUGGAGCGGUGAAAUGCGUUGAUAUCAUCAGGAAUACCGGAGGCGAAGGCGGCUCACUGGGGCUUGUCUGACGCUGAGGAACGAAAGCCAGGGUAGCGAACGGG
rnacentral:rRNA from 1 species